rnacentral:ncRNA from 2 species
UUGUGCUUGAUCUAACCAUGUGGUG